GAAUAUUGCACAAUGGAGGAAACUCUGAUGCAGCAACGCCGCGUGGAGGAUGACGCAUUUCGGUGUGUAAACUCCUUUUAUAUGUCAAGAAAAUGACGGUAGCAUAUGAAUAAGCACCGGCUAACUCCGUGCCAGCAGCCGCGGUAAUACGGAGGGUGCAAGCGUUACUCGGAAUCACUGGGCGUAAAGGACGCGUAGGCGGGUUGUCAAGUCAGGUGUGAAAUCCUACAGCUUAACUGUAGAACUGCACUUGAAACUGGCAACCUAGAGUAUGGGAGGGGGAGAUGGAAUUAGUGGUGUAGGGGUAAAAUCCGUAGAUAUCACUAGGAAUACCUAAAGCGAAGGCGAUCUCCUGGAACAUUACUGACGCUAAGGCGUGAAAGCGUGGGGAGCAAACAG
rnacentral:rRNA from 1 species